AACAUCGCGCACCUGCGGGAACCUGCGGAAGGAUCAUUACGAGAGUGUCACCACUCCCAACCCAUUGUUUACCUACCCGUCCACCGUGCUUCGGCAGGCAGCCCUGUGGGACAGAGCCUCGCCCCCCUCCGCGGGGGGUGCCUGCCGCUGGCCAACCAACAACUCUAGCUGUUUUAGUACCAUCUGAGUCUUCCACAAAUGAACAAAACUUUCAACAACGGAUCUCAGAUCGGAAGAGCA
rnacentral:misc_RNA from 1 species